GGACGAACGCUGGCGGCGUGCCUAAUACAUGCAAGUCGAACGGUCUUUCUAUGGAAGCUUGCUUCCACUGAGAAGAUAGUGGCGAACGGGUGAGUAACACGUGGGUAACCUGCCCAUAAGAGGGGGAUAACAUCCGGAAACGGGUGCUAAUACCGCAUAGUUUUCUUGAUCGCAUGAUCGGGAAAGGAAAGACGGCCUUUGUGCUGUCGCUUAUGGAUGGACCCGCGGCGUAUUAGUUAGUUGGUGAGGUAACGGCUCACCAAGACGAUGAUACGUAGCCGACCUGAGAGGGUGAUCGGCCACAUUGGGACUGAGACACGGCCCAAACUCCUACGGGAGGCAGCAGUAGGGAAUCUUCCGCAAUGGACGAAAGUCUGACGGAGCAACGCCGCGUGAGUGAAAGAAGGUUUUCGGAUCGUAAAACUCUGUUGUCAGAGAAGAACAAGUUGGAGAGUAACUGCUCCAGCCUUGACGGUAUCUGACCAGAAAGCCACGGCUAACUACGUGCCAGCCGCCGC
rnacentral:rRNA from 1 species